AUUGAACGCUGGCGGCAGGCCUAACACAUGCAAGUCGAACGAGUGGCGGACGGGUUAGUAAUGUCUGGGAAACUGCCUGAUGGAGGGGGCUAACUACUGGAAACGGUAGCUAAUACCGCAUACCAUCGGAUGUGCCCAGAUGGGAUUAGCUAGUAGGUGGGGUACAGGCUCACAUAGGCGACGAUCCCUAGCUGGUCUGAGAGGAGGACCAGCCCGACUGGAACUGAGACACGGUCCAGACUCCUACGGGAGGCAGAAGUGGGGAAUAUUGCACAAGUGGCGCAAGCCUGAUGCAGCCAUGCCGAGUGUAUGAAGAGGGCCUUCGGGUUGUAAAGUACUUUAAGCGGGGAGGCGUUACCCGCAGAAGAAGCACCGGCUAACUCCGUGCCAGCAGCCGCGGUAAUUC
rnacentral:rRNA from 1 species